UAGCAUAUCAAUAAGCGGAGGAAAAGAAACCAACAGGGAUUGCCCUAGUAACGGCGAGUGAAGCGGCAACAGCUCAAAUUUGAAAUCUGGCGCAAGCCCGAGUUGUAAUUUGUAGAGGAUGCUUCUGGGCAGCGGCUAGUCUAAGUCCUUUGGAACAGGGCGUCACAGAGGGUGAGAAUCCCGUAUGUGAUUAGCAUGCACCCGUCACGUAGCUCCUUCGACGAGUCGAGUUGUUUGGGAAUGCAGCUCUAAAUGGGAGGUAAAUUCCUUCUAAAGCUAAAUACCGGCCAGAGACCGAUAGCGCACAAGUAGAGUGAUCGAAAGAUGAAAAGCACUUUGAAAAGAGAGUUAAAAAGCACGUGAAAUUGUUGAAAGGGAAGCGCAUACAACCAGACUUGUCGGCGGUGUUCCGCCGGUCUUCUGACCGGUCUACUCGCCGCCGGCAGGCCAGCAUCGUUUGGGCGCGCCAGAUAAAGGUUUGGGGCGGCGGUUCGCCGUUGCCCCUUACACAAUACGGCGCCGCCCGAGCGAGGUCCGCGCUUCGGCAAGGAUGCUGGCGUAAUGGUUGCCUGCGGCCCGUCUUGAAACACGGACCAAGGAGUCUAACAUCUAUGCGAGUGUUCGGGUGUCAAACCCCUACGCGUAAUGAAAGUGAACGGAGGUGGGAACGCAAGUGCACCAUCGACCGAUCCUGAUGUCUUCGGAUGGAUUUGAGUAAGAGCAUAGCUGUUGGGACCCGAAAGAUGGUGAACUAUGCCUGAAUAGGGUGAAGCCAGAGGAAACUCUGGUGGAGGCUCGCAGCGGUUCUGACGUGCAAAUCGAUCGUCAAAUUUGGGUAUAGGGGCGAAAGACUAAUCGAACCAUCUAGUAGCUGGUUCCUG
rnacentral:rRNA from 1 species